UUCCAGGCCCUACGGGGCGCAGCAGGCGCGAAACCUUUACACUGCACGCCAGUGCGAUAAGGGGAUCCCGAGUGCGCAGGCAUAGAGCCUGCGCUUUUCUGAACCGUAGGAAGGUUCAGGAACAAGAGCUGGGCAAGACCGGUGCCAGCCGCCGCGGUAAUACCGGCAGCUCGAGUGAUGGCCGAUCUUAUUGGGCCUAAAGCGUCCGUAGCUGGCCUUACAAGUCCGUCGGGAAAUCCACCCGCUCAACGGGUGGGCGUCCGGCGGAAACUGUGAGGCUUGGGACCGGGAGGCUUGAAGGGUACGUCCGGGGUAGGAGUGAAAUCCCGUAAUCCUGGACGGACCGCCGAUGGGGAAACCACUUCAAGAGAACGGAUCCGACAGUGAGGGACGAAAGCUAGGGUCUCGAACCGGAUUAGAUACCCGGGUAGUCCUAGCUGUAAACGAUGCCUGUUAGGUGUGACUCCCACUACGAGUGGGUGUUGUGCCGUAGGGAAGCCGCUAAACAGGCCGCCUGGGAAGUACGUCUGCAAGGAUGAAACUUAAAGGAAUUGGCGGGGGAGCACUACAACUGGAGGAGCCUGCGGUUUAAUUGGACUCAACGCCGGACAUCUCACCAGCAUCGACUGUGGUAAUGACGGUCAGGUUGAUGACCUUACCCGAGCCACAGAGAGGAGGUGCAUGGCCGCCGUCAGCUCGUACCGUGAGGCGUCCUGUUAAGUCAGGCAACGAGCGAGACCCGCAUCCUUACUUGCCAGCAGCACCGUGAGGUGGCUGGGGACAGUAGGGAGACCGCCGUGGCUAACACGGAGGAAGGAACGGGCAACGGUAGGUCAGUAUGCCCCGAAUAUGCUGGGCAACACGCGGGCUACAAUGGUCGAGACAAUGGGUUCCAACGCCGAGAGGCGACGGUAAUCUCAGAAACUCGAUCGUAGUUCGGAUUGUGGACUGAAACUCGUCCACAUGAAGCUGGAUUCGGUAGUAAUCGCGUGUCAGAAGCGCGCGGUGAAUACGUCCCUGCUCCUUGCACACACCGCCCGUCAAAGCACCCGAGUGAGGUCCGGAUGAGGCUCCCGAGAGGGAGUCAAAUCUGGGCUUCGCAAGGGGGCUUAAGUCGUAACAAGGUAACCAAGGGCGAAU
rnacentral:rRNA from 1 species